UGGGGAUUAUUGCACAAUGGGCGCAAGCCUGAUGCAGCAACGCCGCGUGAACGAUGAAGUUCUUCGGAUCGUAAAGUUCUGCUGCAGGGGAAGAUAAUGACGGUACCCUGUGAGGAAGCCCCGGCUAACUACGUGCCAGCAGCCGCGGUAAUACGUAGGUGGCUAGCGUUGUCCGGAAUAACUGGGCGUAAAGGGCUCGCAGGAGGAGAUGCAAGACAGGUGUAAAAGGCAGUAGCUUAACUACUGUAAGCAUUUGAAACUGCAUAUCUUGAGAAGGGGAGAGGUAAGCGGAAUGUUUAGUGUAGCGGUGAAAGGCAUAGAUAUAAAAAAGAAUGACGGUGGCGAAGGAGGCGUACUGGGCUCAUUCAGACGGUGAGGAACGAAAGCAAGGGAGGGAAACAGG
rnacentral:rRNA from 1 species